GUGCCAGAGCACACUUCAGCAGCACAUGUACUAAAGUUACAAUAGCAUAGAGAAGAUUAACAUGGCCUCUGGGCAAGGAUGACACACACAUUCGUGAAGUGUUCAUAUAUUUU
ensembl:snRNA U6 U6 spliceosomal RNA